rnacentral:rRNA from 1 species
GUGGGGAAUAUUGCGCAAUGGACGAAAGUCUGACGCAGCGACGCCGCGUGAGUGAUGAAGGCCUUAGGGUCGUAAAGCUCUGUUGAAUGGGAAGAAAAAAAUGACGGUACCAUUCGAGGAAGGACCGGCUAACUUCGUGCCAGCAGCCGCGGUAAUACGAGGGGUCCUAGCGUUGUUCGGAAUCAUUGGGCGUAAAGGGUGUGUAGGUGGCCAUGUAAGUCAGGUGUGAAAGCCCCGGGCUCAACCCGGGAAGUGCACUUGAUACUGCGUGGCUUGAGUACCGAAGAGGGUAGUGGAAUUCCAGGUGUAGUGGUGAAAUACGUAGAUAUCUGGAGGAACACCGGUGGCGAAGGCGGCUACCUGGUCGAGUACUGACACUGAGACACGAAAGCAUGGGGAUCAAACAGGAUUAGAAACCCGUGUAGUCC